AUGCUAUACAACUCUGCAUGUACAUCAUUAAAAUUUGUCUUACAUCAUCUAGAUUUUCUCAAUAUAAAAUGUAAAACCAGAAACAUGAUUUUACUGGCCUUGCCUCAAUUUUUGAUGCUGCCUCCUUCUUCCUGGCAGCUGCCCACAGGGAGGGUUCACAGAGGACCCGAAGUAGAGCUAGGCAGGAGCUAUCUUAAUGCAACCCUGGAUCUGAGA
rnacentral:snoRNA from 1 species